rnacentral:rRNA from 1 species
AGUGAAUGCUGGCGGUAGGCCUAACACAUGCAAGUCGAACGGCAGCACAGUAAGAGCUUGCUCUUACGGGUGGCGAGUGGCGGACGGGUGAGGAAUACAUCGGAAUCUACUUUUUCGUGGGGGAUAACGUAGGGAAACUUACGCUAAUACCGCAUACGACCUACGGGUGAAAGCAGGGGAUCUUCGGACCUUGCGCGAUUGAAUGAGCCGAUGUCGGAUUAGCUAGUUGGCGGGGUAAAGGCCCACCAAGGCGACGAUCCGUAGCUGGUCUGAGAGGAUGAUCAGCCACACUGGAACUGAGACACGGUCCAGACUCCUACGGGAGGCAGCAGUGGGGAAUAUUGGACAAUGGGCGCAAGCCUGAUCCAGCCAUACCGCGUGGGUGAAGAAGGCCUUCGGGUUGUAAAGCCCUCUUGUUGGGAAAGAAAAGCAGCAGGUUAAUACCCCGCUGUUCUGACGGUACCCAAAGAAUAAGCACCGGCUAACUUCGUG